GAUGAACGCUGGCGGCGUGCCUAAUACAUGCAAGUCGAGCGAACAGAUAAGGAGCUUGCUCCUUUGAAGUUAGCGGCGGACGGGUGAGUAACACGUGGGUAACCUACCUAUAAGACUGGGAUAACUUCGGGAAACCGGAGCUAAUACCGGAUAACAUUUAGAACCGCAUGGUUCUAAAGUGAAAGAUGGUUUUGCUAUCACUUAUAGAUGGACCCGCGCCGUAUUAGCUAGUUGGUAAGGUAACGGCUUACCAAGGCGACGAUACGUAGCCGACCUGAGAGGGUGAUCGGCCACACUGGAACUGAGACACGGUCCAGACUCCUACGGGAGGCAGCAGUAGGGAAUCUUCCGCAAUGGGCGAAAGCCUGACGGAGCAACGCCGCGUGAGUGAUGAAGGGUUUCGGCUCGUAAAACUCUGUUACUAGGGAAGAACAAAUGUGUAAGUAACUGUGCACAUCUUGACGGUACCUAAUCAGAAAGCCACGGCUAACUACGUG
rnacentral:rRNA from 1 species